UUGUAACUAGUGAGACUUCUUUUCUAUAUUUAGAAAUAUUGGGAUAGGAGCAGUUCCUUAAGAUGGUUAUGGGCUGAUAUUUUCUGGGAAGUUGCUGUGAAAAGCUGCUGAGAGCAUGAACUAUCAAUUUCCCACAAAUUCAACGUUUCUUCCAAAUCCUUGCUCACCGUUGAGAUAAGACUCAUGGACUGUAGUUUUGAGGAUGGUUUUGUUACAGAGCUAUAGUUCUGGCUCUUCUGCUUCCCAAGCCCAUGAGAUAUAAAGCACAGGCUGAGCUACAGUCGAAAGAACAAAUCAUCCAAAGCCACAACCUGUGCUUUCCUGGAGAAGGAAGUUUUUCAGAAAUGCAGGGAAAAUGGCUCUCUGCCACAUCUUGCCUGAAGACCAUACAUAUAUCACUGGAGAUCAGAGGAAGAGAUGACACAUGCUGGCAUCAGGCAGGAUUUAUGGAAAACUGCUCCUGUGACAGUCGUCUCCUACAUGACCUCUUGCAGUUCCUUCUAAGACUUCUUUCUUUUACUCCUUGUAAAUAUUCCUGGUGCAGAGGCAUUGAAAUAUUACAAAAAAAUAUUUGUAUACUCAUAAGGCAGAUGGAUGUGCUAAUUUCUCCAUGAGGAGGUAAUUAAAAGUCUCCUCUCCCAAAGCUGAUGGCAUGAAUAGAUGGCAUCUAUUGUUUUUUAUCUAAAAUCAGAUUUUUAUAACAACCUAUUUUUAUUUCAAUAAAAUACAUAUUUCCUUUAAGUAUGCUGUAUAGUCUUCAAAAUAACUUUGC